GCCCCAGCCCCCACUCCCAACUCAGCCCCAGGCACAGAAGAGGCGCUUCACAGAGGAGCUACCUGACGAACGGGAAUCGGGACUUCUGGGAUACCAGCAUGGACCCAUUCAUAUGACUAAUUUAGGUACAGGCUUCUCCAGUCAGAAUGAGCUUGAAGGUGCAGGAUCGAAGCCGGCAAGUUCCUCAGGCAAAGAGCGAGAGAGGGACAGGCAGUUGAUGCCUCCACCAGCCUUUCCAGUGACUGGCAUAAAGACAGAGUCGGAUGAAAGGAAUGGGUCUGGGACCUUAACAGGGAGCCACGGUGAGUAAGGUGUAACUGGGGGAGUAAGGAUGUGGCUAAGAUUGGUCUUAAGCCGUUAGUUUUCUCACCUGAUAUUCAUUCAGGUGUGACUCAUUUAGGUGUCCAGUCCAAACUCUGUGAUCUAAUGAGAAUACUUUUUUUUAUUUAUACGCACAGAAUAUAGUUACACAGCAUUUUAUUUUCAACCGACGUGUGUCUAGAAAAGUCAGUCGACUUGUAUUUUAUACGUAGCAUCAGUGACUAUUAAAACCCUACGAAGUACUAAUGCUUGGUAGGUCAUUUCAAAAUCUCAUUGCCUUGUUGUCUAAGUACCUGGAGGUGAUCUGAUACAGACCUAGUAAAGAUUGAUUGUUUUGUAUUGAGAGCUGAGCCACGCCCCCUGUUAUAGCUCUAUUGGUCGAGAAUGUGUGUGUACAGUGGCUGUGCAAACACAGCUGCUCUUUAGUGCCCCAGAGCUUUGGAUCCUGUGAAGGCACCUGGGUCGCAGUUGUUUGCCUGUGUUAAUAUAAUAAAAAGGAAUAGGAGAAAAUAAGUUUUUUUCUUUUCUUCUUUUCUUUUAACUCUUUAAAAGGUGAGAAAUAUCAGCCUCCAGAGACUCACUUGCUAACUUCCCUUUUUUUCUUUUUCUUUCUUUUUUUUUUUUUUUUU